GGCCAAUAAAGAGCACCCGUGGCCGGAUACACUUCGAUAUCACGUGCAUAGGCCAAUAGGGUACAAGCAUAUCAUUGUUUUGACAUUUUACUAUUGUAUUUCAGGUAGGGAUUAGCUCAGAGUCGGACUAGAAAUUUAAAUACGUAAUAAAAGACGACAAUUUGAAGAUACAAGCUUGGGAGAUAUUGUCACUGAAUCGAGCGGUGAUAUUGUUGUCUUCAUAGCAUUCACCAAACCAAAGAUAUGACUGGGAUAUGUCGGUAAGGAGUAAAUUUACUGCAUUAAAUUACUCGCAGAUUAAAAAUUAUAUAGUUAAAAGCAUAUACCUACCCAUUGUUUUUGUCAUUUUCUAGAAAUCAUAAAAAAGAGAUAUGAGAGUGUUAAGUUCCCAUGGCUGCCACCAAUUUCGUA